rnacentral:rRNA from 1 species
CGGGGUGCACCAGGCGCGAAAACUUUACAAUGCGGGAAACCGUGAUAAGGGAACUCCGAGUGCCCGUUAAAUCGGGCUGUCCAUCAGUUUAAAAAACUGGUGAAGAAAGGGCCGGGCAAGACCGGUGCCAGCCGCCGCGGUAAUACCGGCGGCUCGAGUGGUGGCCACUAUUACUGGGCUUAAAGCGUUCGUAGCUGGUUUGUUAAGUCUCUGGGGAAAUCUUCCGGCUUAACCGGAAGGCGUCUCAGGGAUACUGGCAGACUAGGGACCGGAAGAGGUGAGGGGUACUCCAGGGGUAGGAGUGAAAUCCUGUAAUCCUUGGGGGACCACCUGUGGCGAAGGCGCCUCACCAGGACGGCUCCGACAGUGAGGGACGAAAGCUGGGGGAGCAAACCGGAUUAGAUACCCGGGUAGUCCCAGCCGUAAACGAUGUGCGUUAGGUGUAUCGGUGACCACGAGUCACCGAGGUGCCGAAGAGAAAUCGUGAAACGUACCGCCUGGGAAGUACGGUCGCAAGGCUGAAACUUAAAGGAAUUGGCGGGGGAGCACAAGGGCGAAUUCGCG